rnacentral:tRNA from 1 species
GAGAGUAUAGCUCAAGGGCAGAGUGUGUGCCUAGCAUGCACGACGAGGUCCUGGGUUCAAACCCCAGUACCUCCA